UGCGGUAUCGCCAAGCGGUAAGGCAUCAGACUCUGACUCUGACAUCACCUAGGUUCGAAUCCUAGUACCGCAGCCA
rnacentral:tRNA from 1 species